CAAGAAUGUGUCUGUUCCGGCUGAACUGACACGUGAAAUCACACAAAUGGAAAUGAUAAAACUGUUACCUAUGACGGAUAAAGUGACUCCAGGUCUGCGAUCCUCAGGGUGCAGGUCGUCUUAUCGCAGUAAUACUUCACGCGACCCGUGUACUCCGGGUCUGUCCUCAGAUCCACGGGUCCUUCGUCCUGCAUAUCACUAAACCACAAUACCUUCUCAACCGGGACGGAGCGUCUCUUCACUGUGGACGGCCGUCUGUAGGAGCAGCGUAUGUCCACCGUGGAUCCUCUCACAGCGCAGAUCUCAGCAGAAAUAGAGCGACAGCUCCUGGAGGACGGAGGAGGAAGAGGAGGAGGAAGGAGGAAGAGUGAGAGAAGAAAACAGGGGAAGAAAUGAAACACUGAAUGUGGUUCUUCAUCUCCCUCUCACCU